GGCGAACGCUGGCGGCGUGCCUAAUACAUGCAAGUCGAACGAAGCUGUUUUAACUGGUGCUUGCACCGACUUAAACAACUGAGUGGCGAACGGGUGAGUAACACGUGGGUAACCGGCCCCAAAGCGGGGGAUAACAUUUGGAAACAGAUGCUAAUACCGCAUAACCACAGAAACCACAUGGUUUCUGUGUCAAAGAUGGUUUCGGCUAUCACUUUGGGAUGGACCCGCGGCGUAUUAGCUAGUUGGUAAGGUAAUGGCUUACCUAGGCAAUGAUACGUAGCCGAACUGAGAGGUUGAUUGGCCACAUUGGGACUGAGACACGGCCCAAACUCCUACGGGAGGCAGCAGUAGGGAAUCUUCCACAAUGGACGAAAGUCUGAUGGAGCAACGCCGCGUGAGUGAAGAAGGUCUUCGGAUCGUAAAACUCUGUUGUCAGAGAAGAACGUGUGCGAGAGCAACUGCUCGUGCAGUGACGGUAUCUGGCCAGAAAGCCACGGCUAACUACGUGCCAGCCGCCGCCGUAA
rnacentral:rRNA from 1 species